GACGAACGCUGGCGGCGUGCCUAAUACAUGCAAGUCGAACGCAGUGGGGACGGGUGCGUAACACGUGGGUAACCUCCCAUCAGAGGGGAUAACACUUGGCAACAGGUGCUAAACCGAUACUGAUGGAUGGACCCGCGGUGCAUUAGCUAGUUGGUGAGGUAACGGCUCACCAGAGCCACGAUGCAUAGCCGACCUGGUAGGGGGAUCGGCCACACUGGGACUGGAGCCAGGCCCAGACUCCUAAGGGAGGCAGCAGUAGGGAAUCUUCGUCAAUGGGCGAAAGUCUGACCGAGCAACGCCGCGUGAGUGAAGAAGGUUUUCGGAGCGUUAAGCUUUGUUGUUAAGGGAGCGGUACUUAACCAGAAAGGGACGGCUAACUACGUGCCAGCAGCCGCGGUAAUUC
rnacentral:rRNA from 1 species